rnacentral:misc_RNA from 1 species
GAUGAAGAACGUAGCGAAAUGCGAUAAGUAAUGUGAAUUGCAGAAUUCCGUGAAUCAUCGAAUCUUUGAACGCACAUUGCGCCCCCUGGUAUUCCGGGGGGCAUGCCUGUCCGAGCGUCAUUGCAACCCUCAAGCGCGGCUUGUGUGAUGGGCCUCGUCCCUCGUGGACGGGCCCGAAAGGCAGUGGCGGCAUCCGACAUGGUGCCCGAGCGUAUGGGAACUCUCUUCCGCUCGAACAGGCUCAUGCGGCGCCGGUCGUAACCAAAUUUUUUACCGGUUGACCUCGGAUCAGGUAGGGAUACCCGCUGAACUUAAGCAUAUCAAUAAGCGGAGGA